UACAGAGGGUGCGAGCGUUAAUCGGAUUUACUGGGCGUAAAGGGUGCGUAGGCGGUUAUAUGAGUGUGAUGUGAAAGCCCCGGGCUUAACCUGGGAAGAGCAUUGCAAACGAUAUGACUGGAGUAGUUGAGAGGGUGAUGGAAUUUCCGGUGUAGCGGUGAAAUGCGCAGAUAUCGGGAGGAACACCUAUGGCGAAGGCAGCUCGCUGGGACGUUACUGACGCUGAGACGCGAAAGCGUGGGGAGCAAACAGG
rnacentral:rRNA from 1 species